CUCCCAUCGAUGGGCCUUCUAGUCAUCCAUGUGAUCAUCUUCACCAUUGCUAGGCCCAGUGCUUUUGGAUCAACACCCAACUGUACAUCUUGGUUAGCUAGUGGCCAUCCUCCACUAUGAACUCAUACUUAGGGAUGGCCUCCUUGUCAAUGAGGCUAAGGAUGAUAAGGUUUAGCCUUGGGGUCCCCAUCAUAAUGAGCUCCUCCUUGGUGGUGGUGUUGCUAGCCUUGGCAUGGGCCUUCUUGUGGUCAAUCUCACAUUGGUGCUCCUUGGAGAUGAUGUUGAGCUUCAUGUGCUCGACCUGAUGGGCAUGCUUCUUGGUGAUGAGGUGGUAGAGCGGGGUUGGAGGGAUUAAGGCAAGAGUUGAUCAUGCAACUGCGAUGUUCAAUGGCUUUGUUACAAGCAUGUCCAUAGCUAGCAAGUUUCUACUUGCUGAGGGGGUUAGCUGACUUGAGUUUGGCCUUUUCUUUUGCAAUUCUACUCAUUGGAUGAGCUAUGCAGAAGUUGGUGGCUAAAGAAUGGGAUUAGGGUUUUGAGUGUCAUCCUCUCUCCUCUCCACUUGCACCCUCCCCAACCUUCACUCCCUCUUCUUCUUGGAGAAGACCCUUCUCUUGCCUAUCUUUAAACUUCUUCAACACCUCCUCUCCCUCUCGA
rnacentral:lncRNA from 1 species